rnacentral:lncRNA from 1 species
CCUCCAGCAUAUAACAAACAUUUAUCAUCAUAAUCCUUACUAAUGCUUUAGUUGAACGCUAAGGGAAGAUGUUGGUAUAUAUUUUCGAUAUAAUUUCUCGACCUAAAAGUCCUUAAGCCCUUAAUGUAGAAACUAUCGGACGUGUAGAUGAUUUACGAUAAUGUAGUCCGCUCAGACUGGAUCCGAGAUAUCCAAAUAUAUCCUUGAUAGCAUCUCGGUAUUUUUGUUUGAUUCAUUUCACAUCUUGGGUCUUACUAUUAUUUGAA